rnacentral:rRNA from 1 species
GGACCCGCACAAGCGGUGGAGCAUGUGGUUUAAUUCGAAGCAACGCGAAGAACCUUACCAAAUCUUGACAUCCUUUGACCGCUCUAGAGAUAGAGUCUUCCCCUUCGGGGGACAAAGUGACAGGUGGUGCAUGGUUGUCGUCAGCUCGUGUCGUGAGAUGUUGGGUUAAGUCCCGCAACGAGCGCAACCCUUAAGCUUAGUUGCCAUCAUUAAGUUGGGCACUCUAAGUUGACUGCCGGUGACAAACCGGAGGAAGGUGGGGAUGACGUCAAAUCAUCAUGCCCCUUAUGAUUUGGGCUACACACGUGCUACAAUGGACAAUACAAAGGGCAGCUAAACCGCGAGGUCAAGCAAAUCCCAUAAAGUUGUUCUCAGUUCGGAUUGUAGUCUGCAACUCGACUACAUG